rnacentral:rRNA from 1 species
AUUGAACGCUGGCGGCAUGCCUAACACAUGCAAGUCGAACGGAUGAAGUGAGCUUUCUCCUGGAUUUAGCGUCGGACGGGUGUGUAAUACCUAUGAAUCUUCCUCGUUGUAGUGGAUAACGUCCGUAAACGGGCGCUUAUACUGCAUACUUCCUGAUUUAUAAAUUUGGGGAUCUUCGGACCUUACUCUAGCAUAUGAUCCUAGCUCGGAUUAGCUAGUUGGUGGGGUGAUGGCCUACCAAGGCGGCGAUCCGUAACUGGUCUGAGAGAAGGAUCAGCCACCCGGGAACGGGGACACGGACAAGACUCCUAAGGGAGGCAGCAGAGGGGAAUAUUGGACAGUGGGGGAAAGCAUGAUCCAAUGGUGCCGAGUGUGUGAAGAAGGUGUUCGGAUUGUAAAGAACGUUAAGUGGGGAGAAAGGGCAGUAAGUUAAUACCUAGCUGUAUUGACGGUACCAGCAGAAUAAGCACCGGCUAACUACGUG